rnacentral:rRNA from 1 species
UACGUAGGGGGCAAGCGUUAUCCGGAUUUACUGGGUGUAAAGGGAGCGUAGACGGCGUGCCAAGUCUGAUGUGAAAGGCCAGGGCUCAACCCUGGGACUGCAUUGGAAACUGUUUAACUGGAGUGUCGGAGAGGCAAGUGGAAUUCCUAGUGUAGCGGUGAAAUGCGUAGAUAUUAGGAGGAACACCAGCGGCGAAGGCGGCUUACUGGAUCGUGACUGACGUUGAGGCUCGAAAGCGUGGGGAGCAAACAGG